GCUGAGGGAGGAAGGUGACCUACUUGAGAGCUGGGAAGUACAGUGCAGAUGCUGACAAGCAUUAGGAGAGAAGCCAUGCAGCUGUGAGAUGGUGUUGAACAGAAUAUGCUGAUAGAUGGAACAGCUGAAUUUAACCAGGCCAACCUGAAGACAGUUUGGAACCGAUCCAAGAAGCUGCCAGCCUUGAAAAGAAAAAAGCUUCCAGCUUCUCAAUAACAUUCCCUAAAAAGAGAAGUCUAAAAACUAUUAUUGAUGAGGGUGGUGGCAUUAAGUGAGAGUUUAUGGUGGGAAAAAAUGAAUGCUUGCUAAUAUGAAACAACUCUAAAUCCUCUCACCAAACAAAACAUUUACUAUCCUAAUGAGAUAGCCGGCACCUCCGAGGCUUUAACUCCCCCCACAAAAACCUGUAAGGAAGAUUCCACCUUAGAGUUUCAUGGUUCUCAAGUGGGUGAUGACGAUCUCAAAAGCAAGCACAGAAAAGCUUUCCAGAUCAGCAAUUGCCACUGACAACUUGGACUGAAACACUGAAUUAACUGGAAAUGCCCUGACAAGAAAGAUUAUCAAUCCUCAUGGUGAGUUACUGAUGAGACUGUCUCAAACUAGUGACCUUUCAGCCUUAACAAAUUUCUCAGUCUCUCUCCCAGCUACAGAUAUAUUUAUUCUUUAGACUAAUCAAAAGAAAUAUUUAAUAAAAGGCAUUAUGCCAAUUUAUAGUAACUUAGGAUUUGCCCCCAAAUCUUCCUUGGAACUUCAAGUCAAUAGCCAAUCCCACAUCUUUGCACUGAUUGUGUCACAUAGUGUUCAAGACUGGUCUUCAAUCUUCAUUUUUUAAAUGGCUGAAAAUAUCAAACAAACUUAAAAGGAACUAUAAUUCUUCUCACUUAGAACCCAUAAGUGAGACAUGCUUUUAAGGGACUGUAUCUACAACAAGAGGAAUUGUCUGAAAUGUUCCCACUAUUGCAAAGAGUGGUUCUGCUUUAUCAGAGAGAGCAAAAUUGGGAACCUUAGUGAAGGGCUUAUUUUGUUCUUAAGCAGAUCUAAUUCACAUGAUGUUAAAAAUUCCAGAGACCCAUCUACAGGUAGUUCUCCCAACAUUGCUCAAACUAGGGUUAACAACACAGUGGAGAAUCUUAGGAAAGUUCCAUAGUAUAGACAGGACUAGAAAUAUUAUUUAAAUGUCUCUGAAAUAAACAAAAAGGCUGAAGAGAGCAGAUUGGCUAACUACUCAUCUGACAGAGUAGUCAUGCCUCAGGGGACAAGAACACCUAAGAGAACAGACUGAUCUGAGGCCUUCAAGCAAGUCAUCCCAGCAAGAAA